GAUGAACGCUAGCGGGAGGCCUAACACAUGCAAGCCGAGCGGUAUUGUUUCUUCGGAAAUGAGAGAGCGGCGUACGGGUGCGUAACACGUGUGCAACCUGCCUUUAUCUGGGGGAUAGCCUUUCGAAAGGAAGAUUAAUACUCCAUAAUAUAUUGAACGGCAUCGUUUAAUAUUGAAAGCUCCGGCGGAUAGAGAUGGGCACGCGCAAGAUUAGCUAGUUGGUGAGGUAACGGCUCACCAAGGCGAUGAUCUUUAGGGGGCCUGAGAGGGUGAUCCCCCACACUGGUACUGAGACACGGACCAGACUCCUACGGGAGGCAGCAGUGAGGAAUAUUGGUCAAUGGGUGCAAGCCUGAACCAGCCAUCCCGCGUGAAGGACGACUGCCCUAUGGGCUGUAAACUUCUUUUGUAUAGGGAUAAACCUACCCUCGAGAGGGUAGCUGAAGGUACUAUACGAAUAAGCACCGGCUAACUCCGUG
rnacentral:rRNA from 1 species